AUUGAACGCUGGCGGCAGGCCUAACACAUGCAAGUCGAGCGGAUGAAGAGAGCUUGCUCUCUGAUUCAGCGGCGGACGGGUGAGUAAUGCCUAGGAAUCUGCCUGGUAGUGGGGGACAACGUUUCGAAAGGAACGCUAAUACCGCAUACGUCCGACGGGAGAAAGGGGGGGAUCUUCGGACCUAACGCUAGCAGAUGAGCCUAGGUACGAUUGGCUAGUUGGUGAGGUAAAGGCUAACCAAGGCGACGAUCGUUAACUGGUCUGAGAGGAUGAUCAGUCACACUGGAACUGAGACACGGUCCAGACUCCUACGGGAGGCAGCAGUGGGGAAUAUUGGACAAUGGGCGAAAGCCUGAUCCAGCCAUGCCGCGUGUGUGAAGAAGGUCUUCGGAUUGUAAAGCACUUUAAGUUGGGAGGAAGGGCAGUAAGUUAAUACCUUGCUGUUUUGACGUUACCGACAGAAUAAGCACCGGCUAACUUCGUGCCAGCAGCCGCAGUAA
rnacentral:rRNA from 1 species